UACGUAGGGGGCAAGCGUUGUCCGGAUUUAUUGGGCGUAAAGAGCGUGUAGGCGGCCUGGUAGGUCAGCUGUGAAAACUCGAGGCUCAACCUCGAGACGUCGGCGGAAACCAUCUGGCUAGAGUCCGGAAGAGGAGAGUGGAAUUCCUGGUGUAGCGGUGAAAUGCGCAGAUAUCAGGAAGAACACCCGUGGCGAAGGCGGCUCUCUGGGACGGUACUGACGCUGAGACGCGAAAGCGUGGAGGAGCGAACAGG
rnacentral:rRNA from 1 species